UAGGGAAUCUUCCACAAUGGACGCAAGUCUGAUGGAGCAACGCCGCGUGAGUGAAGAAGGUUUUCGGAUCGUAAAGCUCUGUUGUUGGUGAAGAAGGAUAGAGGUAGUAACUGGCCUUUAUUUGACGGUAAUCAACCAGAAAGUCACGGCUAACUACGUGCCAGCAGCCGCGGUAAUACGUAGGUGGCAAGCGUUGUCCGGAUUUAUUGGGCGUAAAGCGAGCGCAGGCGGAAGAAUAAGUCUGAUGUGAAAGCCCUCGGCUUAACCGAGGAACUGCAUCGGAAACUGUUUUACUUGAGUGCAGAAGAGGAGAGUGGAAUUCCAUGUGUAGCGGUGGAAUGCGUAGAUAUAUGGAAGAACACCAGUGGCGAAGGCGACUCUCUGGUCUGCAACUGACGCUGAGGCUCGAAAGCAUGGGUAGCGAACAGG
rnacentral:rRNA from 1 species